rnacentral:lncRNA from 1 species
CCUAAGGCACACAGGGCACAGGGCAUGGGUUAAAUACAUCUACCACGCAUUACGUUCACAAAUAUUAGCAGAACACCAGAGAUAAAUUAAAUGAGUAAUAUUGAUAAGAAAAAUAUAUGUGAUUGACUCGGUAUAGAUACCCAGUUGACUCGCUAAUCUUUUUCAUUAAACAAAUAGUUUCAAAUUUCAGUUCGAACUGAAUGAAAUGAAACGUGCGCUAGAAUUGAAAGUAUGAGAAAAACAAGGUUUCCAAAAGCCAGCUGCAAAACGGGAAAUUCAGGAUACAGGAAUAUCAGGAUCGUGCAAAACCCCAUAAAUUCAAAAAUUGAAAACCAUGAAACGAGAAAUCAGGUAAAUUAAUACUAUACCCUACAUAUUCACCCCUUAGAUGAUUGAAAUUUUAAUUUCGUUUCUUCAUUCAGAUUUCGCGUGAACCAAACGGCAGGUAGAAGUGCUCAAAGAAAAAAAAAUCAAAAUUGCCUCAGUCCGUUGCAUUCCUAAAAUAUCAGAACCUCAUCAACCACAAGAUUCCAAAUUCCCUUUCCUUUUUUCCAAACAGAAACUAAACUCUUUUCCAAAGUCAAAUCAAAAUUUACCUCUAAUGCCCGCAUUAUUUAGCAAAGCAUCGAUACGUCCAAAGGCCUCCCAAGCCUUCUGAACGGAGGCGCCGAUUGAGGAGCCAUCGCUGGUGACGUCAAGUUCGACUGCUACGGCUCGGAGAGGCGGAUCAGCGUUUGGAGGAAGGUUCGAGUGGGUGAGGUUGUUGAUCUCGUCGCAGAGAGACUUGAGUCGGUCAACUCGGCGGGCGGCCGCCACGAUCUUGCAGCCGGCUUUGGCGAGGUUGAGGCAGAACUCGCUGCCGAGACCCGAGGAAGCGCCGGUGACCAUGACCACCUUGCCCUCCAGGUCUUGCCAUGGCUCGAGGUGGUUCGCGACUUGGGACGCCAUCAAUGUGGUUGAGAGUCUCUAGAGAAAGUAGGCACCAGCUUUUAGAGGGAAAAAAAGUAAAGCAAAGAAAAUUUGAUAAGAUGAAAAUAAAUAAUAAAUAAUUAAAAGGGGAAAUAAACUCCUCUAUAUAUUCUAUUGCGACAUUGCGUGAUCAAAUUCCAUUUGUUUAUGUAUCGCCUUUGUAGUGAAUCUAGUGAUGAUGCCAUCGGAUUGUUUGCAGUGAAUUGUCGGAAUUGUUUUUAGUCAUUCUAAUAAUUAAAAAUAAAAAUUUUCAAAUAUUAAAAAUUAAAAAAUUUUAAAUAUUAAAAAUGUUAAAAACGCUUCCUAUAAUAAUUGUUAAAUAGACUCUAAGAGUAUAUUUGAAAGUAAUUCUAAAAAAUAUUUUUAGUAUUUUUAUUAAUGUGUUUUUAAGUAUUAAAAAUAUUAAAAAUACUUUCUAAAAUCACUAUCAAACUAAAAGUGCAUUUAAAAGUAAUUUUAAAAAAUAUUUUUAACAUUUCUAAUACUUAAAUAAUAAAAAACUUCAAGUGUUAAAAAAAUUUAAAACAUUCCAUAAAAUCACUACCAAAUAGAGUCUAAGUUUGUGAAGGGAUCAACACUUAAUAAGUCAUAUUUUAUUAUACAUCUUUCUAAAAUUAGUAUUAAGAAACCAAUUUUUCAGUGUCCAAUAAUUUUCCCUAUUGGUAUAAUUUUCUAAUUACGUAAAAUAAAAAUGGUCAUCAAGGGAAAAUAAUUUUUGAGAACAAACUUUUGCUUAUGAUUUUUUUAUUAUUACUCAAAAAGAGCAUAUUUUAUAUAAUAAUUAUCACGAAUUUCAUAUCUUUUGAGUAGUAACUAUACCUAAAACACUCAAUUAACAUGUUUUUACUUUUGCAAGAAUUACUAAAAAGUCUUAUGAAGUUUUGGGGUAAUUUCAAGGUAUGUUUUUUAUAAAUAGGUGACAAAAGAGAUGAAUCAAAUUAAAGAAAACAAAUAAAGUUGAUGAUGAUCCAAAUGCAUAAUGAAAGAGGCAAUCCAAUCAGUUUGGAUUGGGAUUUGGAGGUAGUUGAAGUGGAAUCAAAAUGAAGAAAUGAGAGAAAUUGCAAAAAGAAGUUGAAAAACCAUGUUUUUCAAUUUCACAUAAACACGAGAAAAAUUCGCACAGUCAUGCAAAUUGAAAUAGAAUGGACUUUGGCUGCAGCACACAAGGGGAAAAGUGAAAAUUGAUUUCGCAUGACCAUACGAAACGCUCCAAGAAGACGAAAAUGGUGCUGAUGGAUUUUCCACUUCGCACAAUCGUGCGAAAUUGUUGGAGCUCAUGCGAAAUUGUUGGAGCUCGUGCGAAAUUGCAUCUUUUCCAAAUUUCUUGAUGAAAAAGUCUCCGGAAGACCUUUUAGAUGAUGCCAAGUGUCCACUUGACCUUGGCCUAUAAAUAGAAACUUGAUUUACUCAUUUAGGGAUUUUUGAUACAUUUCCUAAUUGUAGAAUUUUCCAAAUUUCUUCUCUCUAUAUAAUUCUCUACUUUCCUUCAUUUUCUCUCAUUUUCUCGGUAGCCAAACAUGUCUUGUGAGAUCAAAUCUCAAAGUAUGAGUGGCUAAAUCUUGUUUUUCUUGGAAGAGAAAGGAUAUAGAGAUAAGAUCUAUGGUGAAUUAGAGAAAUGAGAUUAAAUUGCAAAGGUAAUUUGAUCCAAUUGAUUGAUUAAUUGAAAUUUUGAGAUUUUUCUCUUCAAAUUGUCUUGGAUGAUUACGACAAUGUAAGUUAGGUACAUUCAUCAAAUUCUUAAAGUUAGAUUUGAUGAGAUUGAAUAGUUACAUUGUGUGAAUCAUUGGCAGAUAAUUUAAGAUGAAUUGAAUAUAUGAUUUGAAUUGAUCUCUUAGAUUAAACGACCUAAUUUGAAGAGAAAUUAGAUCUAAACCUAAAGUCAAAUCAAAAAUCGGUUUAGAUGAAAAUUUAGGUUUUCAAUCUAACUUGAUGAAAAUUAGAUCUCAACAUCUAUUCACCAUGGAAAUUGUUUUCUAGAAAAUCCUAACUCCGAGAAUUUUAUCUCCUAUUAAUUUUCUUUUAUUUUACAUUUUAUUUUUCUUCUCAAUUUUAGACCAUUGUCAAAUUAAUUUUUCAUCAUGAAUUUUCAAAUCAAUUUCACUUGAUCACAAUCAUUUCUUAUCCUUUCAUUCAAGCCUUAAUUACCGAGAAUAAUCCAUCCUAGUGGACGACACCUAAAAACCACUAUAUUACAGUAGUUUGUACUAAAAUUGUUUUUAAUCGGGUACAAUCUACUUUAGAAUAGUGAAUUAGGUUAUAAAUUUUGUUUUGAUCAAAUAAAUGACAAAAAUCUAAGCGAUCAAUUUUGUAUAUAAAAAAUAAUUUUUUUCACUUAUUCUCGAUAAAACUUAUAAUGUAAAAGUUUUCAAAAUAUUUUUUUAAUAUUUUUUCUUUAUUUUUUGAAAAAUUUUGAUAAAUAAAAUAUGAAAAUACUUUUAAAUUAUUUUUAAAAUAACCUAUUUUCACAACAACAUUUUGAAAAAAACUUUUUUUAUUUUCUCAAAAUUUGGUCAAAUAUAUUCUCUAAGUUGGAGAGUGUCUAAUAUCCUUGUAAAUGUAUUUGGACAAAGUUUUGGAUUUUUAUUAUUUACUUUUGCUUUUAACAGCAAAACUCACUUUAAAAAUCCAAAAAAUAAAAUGAGUUUGGAAAACAAAAUCCAAACUUUAAUCAAAUUUAAAUCCUUUAAUUUUCUCAUUUGUUAAAAGAAUCUCAUAUUUUAUGCCAUUGAUGAAUAAGAAAAAACUUCUUACAUCUCUUAUAAGAAUCAUCUAUCAAUAUUUGAGUAUAUUUUUUUUUAGUGAUGCAUGGUGUUAAUUGAUUGAACUAAAAUUGUAUAAUAAAACCUGUCAAUAGGGAUGACAAUUUAGACACGACACGAUAAUGCAAUUUGAAAAUGAUUGGAUUGUUAAUGUGUUUGGGUUUGCAUGUGAUUGUGUUGUGUCUUAAUAAACAUGUCUUAUUUGGGUUUUCAUUAUUCACCUUGUUUAUGAUUUAUUUGCUUAAUUGUAUCAAAAUAAUUUAUUUAAUCCAUAUAAAUUUAAUAAUUUUAUACAUUCCAAUUAUAAAAAUAAUAAAUACUUUGUUAAUUAUAAAUAUCAUAUAGUAAAAACAUUAAAUAACUAAAUAAAAUUACAUUUGAUUAGUAAGAUUAAAAAUAGUUUAUAGUUAAAAUUUUAAAUAAAAUAAUAAGUAAAUGUAAAAAUUAAAAUAUUAUCCUACUUUUUAUAUUAUGAUCAAAAUUAAAUAAUUACAUUAAUUAAGAUUAAAAAUUAAAGCAAAUGAAAAGUAUUUUAGAAUAAUAUAUUUAUAAAGUUAAAUUCCAAAAUAGGUUAAACGGGUUAUAAUCAUGUUAACUAGUUAAAAUCAUACUAAUGGAUUAUUAUGUCCGAUUUAACCCAUUUAUUAAAUGAGUUAAAUGGGUUGUAUUGAGUUACCUAUAUAAUAAAUGAGUUGUGUUUAUGUUGAAUGUUUCCGACAUGAUUAUUAAAUAAGUCAUAUUUAAAUUAAAUAAAUUUUUACUAUUUUUUUUUUACUUUGAAGACAUUGCCAUCCCUACUUGCUCACAUGCAUUUAAACAAAAAAAUCUUGUAAUUUUCUCUCCAAUCCUUAUCAUUUUUCCCAUCGGCAAGUUCCCUAUUAGGAAAAGAAAUUCCUUGUAUACAUCUCUCAUCCCCAUUCAUGGUCUUUGAAUUCAUAUUUAAAAUUUUCAAAUAUAUAUAUAUAUAUAUAUAUAUAUAUAUAUAUAUAUAUAUAUAUAUAUAUAUAUAAACUAAUAUAUUUUAUAGUGAAUAUGAUAAUUUUUAAAAAAAUAAAUAAAUAUAAAAUUAUAUAUAAAGAAAUAUAUUUAAUAUUAUAUGUAUAUGGUUUGGGUGGGUUUUGGAUAGGGAAUAGUUUCAUUUCCCUGGUCGAGGUUCCCCAUCCCUAAUCCGACUCCAUUAGGGAUGGAUUCCCCAGGGGCACAACUUGGCUGGUUUUUUAUGCCAUCCUUGCUGGAGGGUGGGUUGGGAACUGUUGCCCAAAGCAUGGCCCAUGGGCCCCAACAUUGGCAAAAUCUUGAAACCCUUUAAGAUUAAGCUUGUUAUCUGUUUAUGUAUAUGUGCCGCCAUUUAGAUUGCAGGCCUAAAAAACUUAUAUAGUUUAUGAAGACAUGACCCAACAGGCCCAUCGGGCCACUUGUAUUCCUCUUUAACUUGACACCAAAAGCGCAUUUGGUCGGGUUGAGCUUCAUAUUGUAUGCUUUCAUUAGGCAAAAUGUUUCCUCUAAGUGUAGGACGCGUUUGCUCUGGGUUUUGUUUUUUACCACAAUAUCAUCAAUAUAGACUUCUACGGUUCGGCUGAUCAAGGGUUUGAAGAUUUUUGUCAUCAACCUUUAAUAAGUGGUUCCAACAUUCUUAAGCCCAAAUGGCAUAACCCUAUAGCAGUAUAAUCUGUGCAGCAUCACGAAGGCGGUUUUCUUUUCAUCCGGUUGGAACAUCGGGAUCUGGUGGUACCCGGAGAAUGUGUCUAUGAAAGAGAGCAUCUCAUACAUGGUAGUGGACUCAACUAUCUGAUCUAUUCGAGGUAGAGGGAAGCUAUCUUUCAGGCAAGCAUCAUUCAGGUUGGUGUAAUCAACACAGACUCGCCACUUUCCUCCUUUCUUUGGAACAACCACUACAUUCGCCAACCAAUCCAGAUAUUAUACUUCCUUGAUAAACCCGAUUGUCAGCAACUUGUCCACAUUGAAUUGGAUGAUCUUUUGCUUGUCUGGAUGGAAGCGUCUGACUUUCUGGCAAACGGGUCACGAGGAAGGUAUGAUAUUGAGUCGAUGUAAGGCUACCGAUGGAUGGAUUCUGGGCAUAUCAAAGUGAGUCCAUGCGAAAACAUCCUUGUUCUACUAAAGCACUCCUUCGAGUAAUUUUAAUUCUUUUAGUGCUAGGAGAGAGCUAGCAUAGGUAACACGAUCACUGCUACCUGAGAGAUGCAAGGGUUGGAGCGAGUCUGCUGCUGACAGAUCUUUUUUCGUCAGGCUCUGUAAUUGCUAUUGCUCCUUCGUAUUUGUCAGUCUCGUGUGUGGCUCACUGUUGCUUGGGAGUCCGAAAUUGAGUACCGCUUGAUAGCACUAGCACGUAGCCAACUUACUACCAUAAAGGUCGAUUUGUCCGUCCUCGGUGAGGUAGCUUACCAUCUGAUGAUACGUAGAGGGAAUGACUUUCAUGUUGUGAAGCCACGUGCGCUCCAUGAUGGUGUUAAAAUGGGAUAAGUCCUCUACUAUCGAGAACUGCACAUUCUGGGUGAUCAUACCAACUUGGACGGGUAAUACGAUGUCACCUAAAGACGUUGUCGUUGUCCCAUUGAACCAAAUAAUAUCUGUUUUGGGUUUUCUAGGGCAAUCGGCAGGAGUCUCAUUUGUUUGUAUGACGACAUUUGCAAGAGGUCAACUGAGCUGCCCAGAUCAACCAAAAUCCUUCUUACAUCAAACCCAUUUAUCCCUAAUGUUAGAACUAGGGCGUCUUCAUGUGGUUGUAGUACUCGGUUGGGGUUUACUGGAGGGAAGGUUAUUAUCCCGUCCAUUAGGCAUGCACCUUGAUUACUACUCAAAAAGUGUUAUUUCAUAGCUUGUAAUUAACUCUUUUAAACACUUUUGAGUAGUAGUUAUUGCCUUUUAACCCAAUUAACAUGUUAAGGACCCUUGCAAUCACUUCUAAUCAAUUUGUGUUAAGUUUUGGUGUUUUGAUAGCUUUUUUAUCACCAAAGCAAUCCGAGAUUGAGGAGAGUUAUUUGGAAUCUAUGGCAAAGCAAUGGAAAGCUCAGAAACAUGAAGAACCAAAGCUUUGAAGUCCUUUGUCAUAAGCAAAUCCGGAAUGCAAGGAGGAGAAGCAAAGAGAAAUCUGCCAUGAAGCAUUCUUGAUGAUAGCCAUGUCAGCCACUUUUAGAGCACUUCCUGAAGUCUAAUUUAUGCAUGCUAUAUGUCGUUUCGAAGCUCAGGAAGUCAACAAUCCAAUGCUUCAAAUGGUGUUCAAUUUGGAGUUGAAAUGAAGGAAUUACAGCCAUUACAAGUUGAUCACUCUAAGUUGAAGGAAGAAUUUUGCACAGCGCUGCGAAAUCACCCUUUUGUUGCGAGAUGAUUUCGCAGCCUUUUUGUACAGUGCUGUGGAUUCUCCCCUGAAGUUUCCCGUCACAAUGGAAGCCGAAUACCGCAAGCUGAAAGCCAACUUCGCAGCGCUGCGAAAUCAGCCUUUUGCUGCGAAGUGAUUUCGCAGCCCUUUUUGUGCUUCUACGAAAUCUCGUAGACCUCGUUUUCACCUGCGAAAUGGUCCUUAGUGCUUCCCGAUAUUUGUGACCGACACUUUUGGAUAUUUUGCUUCAGAUUUUUGAUAACUAAAUCCUCAUUUUCUCCUUGUAACCCACCAAUUAUAGGAUUUCUUAGUUAUUAAGUUUGGCAAAGGGGUGAAUAACCUUAGAUAUUUUGUUUUGUAAUUUUCUUUAUAUAUAGCUCUCGGGAGCUUGUUCUUAUAUAGAAUUAUGUAAUCCGACGGGAUAUAGAUUUAUAAAUAUAUAGAAUAUACAGAGCCUUGCUCUGUUUUUUCUUUCUCUUUCAUUUUCAUUUUCUUGCUAAUCAAACUCUGAAGAUUUUUCCUCAGAUGAUGAGAGGCUAGGCUCUUCGUCUCUUGGAGCUAAGGUAACCGGGUAAGUUUUCCACAUGCAUAAAUUGGAAGUUUUGUUGUUUUAGUUUUUAAUGAAGAGAAAGUGUGACCCGUUAAUGGUUUUUAUCUUUUUAGUUAACUUAAAACGCCUUUAAUUCACCUGAGCCAACACUUGGUAAGGCAAGUGAUCUCCGUCCAUGGAGAUGCACUAGUUUAUCUCUUGCGAGCUUUUGGUAGGUGGUUUGAAGGUAGGAUUUUCUAGAAUAGCCAACACUUGUUAAGAUUUUGGACUCCAAUGAGACAUCCAUUAGUUAUCUCUUGCGAGCUUUUGAUGGGUAAUCCAAGGUUAAAGAUCACCUUGAAUGACAAAUGCUAGGUGAGAGGCACGAGUCAUUGCAAGGUGCAUCAAUGAGAGGGAUUUAGUGUUUGAACCCAUUAAUGGGAAGUAUCUGUACAACACUGGUUAGAGAAUUAACUACAUGUUAAUUCUCUAAUGCGAGGAAAAGAAACAAGUGACCAGAACUCUCCUUUUUGUAUGAGGAAUCUGAGCCUAGUGAUCUGAAACUCCAAGAAACACUUUUCUUUGUAAGUAAAAUCAGUUGCUAUUUUUGGUUAGUUUAAAACCAAACUUUUUUCAUUCAAACAUCUUUAUGUUUUCUUUUAAAGCUAACCUUGAAAUGAAAAGGCACCAAUUCAGCUUUGAAUUAAUAUCAUUUGCAAAGUGAAAACCCAUCCCAGUGAACGAUCCUAGAGCCACUAUGCUAUAAUAGCUUUGUCUUUGCUAUCCUAGUAAAUGGUGUAAUAGGUUAUAAAUUUUGUUGAUUACUCCCUCAAUCAAGGAGCACCAGCUGGACACGAAUCAACUGAGACACCAAUUGGGCAUGAAUCACACCUUCACUCGGCAAACUAUGUUGGAUAGAGCUAACCUACUCCCUCACGAAAGCCACUCGUAGCAAUCUUUGUCUCUUUUGUUUGGAAUUGUAUUUUUCGUCAACGAGACCCCCAUGAAUGUAGUUGAUGAUAGCUCUAAGAGCUUCCGAAGUUGUGGACACUUGGAUAGCCAAAUCCCGGGUGGUUUCCCUUUGUCCUUCGAUUGAGCGGAUGUAUCAUUUUAAGUGCUUGGCCUUAAUUAGUCUUUCCACUAAGUAGUGGAAACUUCUGCAUUGUUUCGUGGUGUGGCCAUGAUCUUUGUGAUAGGCACACUUCCUGUUCUAAUCCCGUUUCGUCGAAUCUGUCUUAAUUGACUCUGGCCAUCUAAAAUCAGACAGAUCACAAAUCAUGGGAAGGAGUUUGUCGUAUGAAAUGCUAAGGGGGGUCAGACUAGCUUGGCUUGGCUGCUGCUGGUCGUCUCGCUUCUUGCUGACUUGCCUUAGUUGGUUUGAGAGCUUAGAAUUUUCGGCAUGAUCGUUCCUGGCGGAUCGACGAGUGACCAGGACCUGCUGUGUAGUCUUACAAACAUCGUCUUCAAGAUGGAGUACUUGUUUACUCGUUUGAAUAGGUCAUCCAUUGUCGCUGAUAGUUUCUUAACGAGAGAUUCGAAGAAAUGCGUACUCGGACAAAUGCUUCUUUUGAAGAUUUGUAGGAUGACGUCCAUGCUACAAGACUCUACUUGGAGCACGACCUGUCCGAACAGUUUCACAAACUCCCUCAAUGAUUCAUUUUCCUACAUUUUUAUGUUUUGCGGGGUACUUAUGUUCUAUUUGUCAUGCCGAGCAUAGGUAGUGUCCCACAAAGGCUUCUGAUAGAUCCUAGAAAUUACUCACAAAAUUCUUUAGGAGAUGGUGGAACUACGAAAGGGCCUAGCCAUGUAAGCUAGUUGGAAAGACUUUGCAUAAUAGCACAUCGUUCCCUAUGUUGAGGGUCAUGAGCUGCCUAUAAUGCAUGAUAUGAUCAAACAGAUCACUUGUUUCGUCAUAUGUCAUGAAUUUUGGUACCAUGAACCCUCUUGGGGGCUAGUAGUUGAUGAUGUAAAGGCUAAAAAGCAUGGAGAGCAUGUCACCCAAUCGUCUACUGACAGAGCCAAGCAGUCCUCGUUCUGUCAGAGCCCCUACUUGUUGUUAUGCUGGUGGACGAGAAGGCCAUUCUAGCAUGACCAUUGUAAUCGAGAAACCAAGGCAGGCUUCCUGGGUCGCUGCUACACAUGGUUUCCCUUCCAUGCCAGGUGUCUGAGGUCUUAGCCGAGCUCACAUUGUGUCUGAUAGUUGUGACCUUCUAUCACACCUCUUUUUUGUGGAGAUGUGGGUAGAGUCAGAGCUUUCAUCUAACAGUGCUUGGCAAGUUGGUAGAAACUUUUCUUUAGGUCGUAUCUCCUGGCUACCAGAGAUGAACUUUGCGUCCCUAAGAAAUGACAUUUUUUCGUUUUGUUUGGAGUUUGUUCACUGGCUCUUAGGCUGUCGGCUACGAGGGGGGCUUGACGAAGACACCUGGAUGCGUAACACUUCAAUUUCUUCUCUAAGUCUCCUUGUCUCACAGAGCAAGGACUGUACCUGUCGUUUGCUCUCUUGUUGGCGUCUUUCCAUGUUUUCACACUAGUCGAAGUAGCCAUCGCUACCCAUGGCUGAUGAUCGGCUCCUUGAGGGCGUCGACAUUCUUAACAUUUCCCACAAAUAGCACCAAUGUUGAUGCGAGGUUAACUGGAGUCAGAUCCGCCUUAUGUUGUGCCACUGAGAGCUUUUACCCAGCAACAAGGGACUAAGUGAGCUUUUUCCCUACACAAAGGAUGUCCGGACAAGGUGUCUGAGCACGCCCCUCUGAAGCUUAAGUCAGACACAGGUAGGUUAGAGCUUAUAGGGAGAAAAUGAAUAAACUAGCUUAGGUGUGCAUACCUGGGUUAUGCUUUAGGAAGACUUUUUAUAGUGCUCAAGAGAAAGUUAAUGUAGUGCUGAGUAGAUACUUUGACCUUCACUGUAAUAAUGGUUAUCCUGCAGGUGGCAGAGCAAUCAUUGCAGUUUAGGGCAACUAGCAAGUUCCAUCAAAUGAUGUGUCAUAAUGUAGCUGCCCAUCAUUUCAACCUUCUGGAGAUAUGAGGCAAUGUGUGAUAAUUUGUUGACAUCAAGGAUGAAAAUAUCGGUAAUUACGGAUAUAUCGAUAUUUCGAUUUUACGGAUAUAUCGAUAUUUCGAUUUUACGGAUAUAUCGGAAAUAUAUCGAUGGAUAUUUUGAUAUAAAAUAUUAGUAGACCUAAAAUUGACCAAAACUUAUAAAAAUAUAAAAUAAAACUUUUAGAAAUGAAAUUAAAAUAUAAUAGAUAUUUUAAAAUUAUUUUAUUAAAUAAAUUAAUGUAUAUAUAAUAUUGUACGUGUCAAUAAAAAAAUAUAAAUUUGAUAAGUGUAUAUUGAUUAUUAAAUUAUAUUAAAUAUUAUUUGAUCAUUAUAUUGUGAUAUUUGAUUAUAAUAUAUUUCGAUGGAUAUUUUAACACAAAAUAUCGGUAAAUCUAAAAUUGAUCAAAACUUAUAAAAAUAUAUUAAAAAAAACUUUUAAAAAUAAAAUUAAAAACAUAAUAGACAUUUUAAAGUUAUUUUUUCGAAUAAAUUGAUAUAUAUAUAUAUAUAUAUAUAUAUAUAUAUAUAUAUAUAUAAUAUUGUACAUGUUAAUAAAAAAUAUAAAUUUGAUAAGUGUAUAUUGAUUAUUGAAUUAUAUAAAAUAUUAUUUGAUGAUAAUAUUGUGAUUAUAAUAUGUUUAAUUUUAAAAUCUGUUUAAUAUUAAAAUAGUGAUAUAUUAUAAAAUAAAUGAUAAUAAAUAUAUAAAAUAUUAAUAUAUUAAUAAUAUUAAAAACUCUAUGAAUAAAAUUAUGAUAUUUUUUACUAAUCAAUUAAAUGAAAAUUUUUCAUUUAAUUAUAAAAUAGUCAUAAUUAAUUUGUUAUUUAAAGUGUUUUUUUAAUAUUUUAUUUAUAUUCUAAGUUUUAAUAUAUAUUUCUUUAGAGUGUCAUAUUUAUCAAAGAGCAUGUUUGCCCUAGUGGAACUGGGCCUGACAUAGAAAUCUUUUGUUGGGGGUUCGAAUCCCCCCAACAGCAGGAAGAAAAAAAGCUUAAUUUUGACCGUUGACCGCCUGUGUUGACCGAGCGUUGACCGGCGAUAUAUCUCUGCUGCACCCACCGACACACCGAUAUUUCGCCGAAAUAUCGCCUAAUUCCAAAGGGAAUGAUUACACGUAGCAAGGGAGUUCCGAGCACUGUGGCAAUUAUCUGGACAAUGCUGAGGGAAGUGACGCAUGGACUGACACGUGGAAGGUCCCUACAAUUACUACUCCUCAUUCACGUCUACCAAACAGGCCUUUGGGAUGAAAAUUAUAUACGUCAAUUCCAAGUUUCCAACCCAACACAAUUAUAUUAUUCACCUAAAUCACACUAAACCCAAUUUCCAUUUUUUUGGUGCAUCCAACCUGGAAUAUGUACAUUUUAAUGUAAUUCCUGCACAAAUGAGAAAAGUGAAUAAGCCAUCUUCCUCGACAUUCUUCUUGUAAAUUGAAGAGCAAGAUUUAUUUAUUUAUUUAUUUAUUUGCAUUUUAAAAACCAAUGUGAAAUUUGUCUUUUGAUUUUGAGCAUCCAUGAUGCCGAUAUGUACAUUUCAAUUACCACAUGAAGCAGGAAGUUCAAUCUUAAAUACCGAACAUCAAGCAGAAACCACUACACCCAGUAGAUGUAGAUUUUAAUAUUCAAUGGGUUCAUUCCAAUUGCCACAUUAUUUUCAGCAACCAGAACUCAAAAAAAGCCACACAAAUAACACGAUUAUAAGGAUAUGGGGGAUCGGAUACCUUAUUUUAUUUCCCAGUAUAAUUUUGAGACAAUCAAAUUCUGAGCUGCAGAGUCUGAAAUCCAAUAAAGGAGCUUUGGAGUCUAUGGUGGUGUACCGGGAUGAACCAUCACCUUCCAAAUUAAAAUUCUAGGGCUAUACCACAAACAGAAUUCUGAGAUGUAUUGGGUAUUACAUGAUGAAUAACCCAAGAAAACUAGUACCGUAGAAGAGCUUCAAAGGGAAGAGAAAAUGGGAACACCCGGCAGGGUUGCGCCUGCAUCGACAUUGAAAACGUUACCUGAUAUGUAUCGUGAAGAAUCAUGAAUCAAGUAUCGCACCAGGGAUGUCAAUGCAGGGUCCGAUGUUCCAUAGGCCCGCAAGGGGCAUGUUCUCUGAACCACAGUGUUGAGCCAGUCUUUUUGCAUAAGGCCCGCAGUUAUCUCCGAUUUGAAUAUUCCAGGUGCUAUUGCAUUCGCUCUAAUAUUGUAUGCCCCCAAUUCCAAAGCCAUUACCUGGAAUUGUUAUUAUUUGGAAAAAAAAUAAAUAAAUAAUCAUUCUUCAGUGCCAGACUCAGAUGAGUGUGUAGGAAUAAAGGUUCUACAACAUUUUUGCAUGGAAAAACAGUUGAAGAUGGCAGGAAAUAUACAAUAAAAUGUCGAAUCGAAAUAAGUAUAAUGCUAUAUAAACACAAGCCCUUAACCAGAUUUACAGAAAAUGACUUACAUCUUGGAUAGACAAACUGUACGUAUCAUGCAAAAGCGGAGAAUAAUAUUGGGAUUUUUUGCAUGGGAAGCAAGGUGAGAAGAAUAUUGACUUUUUGUACAUUGAUUUUUAUCUUCUCUUUUUAUACAUUUUAUAUACUCCUCAUGCUUAUUAAAAAAAAAAAAAGACAAAAAUAAUAUUAAAAAUUAAAAAUAAAAUAACAAGACAAGCAUAAUAUAGUGAACAUAAACAUUUGACUACAUUUUCACAAUAUAUUUAAAUCUAACGUUGAAUUUCCUAACUCACCUUUGUUUGCCAGAAUAUAUUAGAAACAAAUUUAAAACAUGUCAGAGAUAUUACCUUUGUCAUGGCGCUCAAGCCUGACUUGGAAGACACAUAGGCUACUGCUCCAGGUGACUGUCCCCGAUUAAGAGAAACAAUGGAAGAAAUAUUGAUGAUUGAUCCUCCAUUCUUGGCAUCCCUCAUGCGCAUACCGACAUAUUUUGACACCAACCAUGAUCCCGUCAAGUUUGUCUUCAGAGUAUUGUUCCAUUCCUCCUCAGAUAUAUCCAGAGGAGAGUUCACAUUGCCUAAGGCACACAGGGCACAGGGCAUGGGUUAAAUACAUCUACCACGCAUUACGUUCACAAAUAUUAGCAGAACACCAGAGAUAAAUUAAAUGAGUAAUAUUGAUGAGAAAAAUAUAUGUGAUUGACUCGGUAUAGAUACCCAGUUGACUUGGUAUAGAUACCCAGUUGACUCGCUGAUUAGUUUCAAAUUUCAGUUAGAACUGAAUGAAAUGAAACGUGCGCUAGAAUUGACAGUAUGAGAAAAACAAGGUUUCCAAAAGUCAGCUGCAAAACGGGAAAUUCAGGAUACAGGAAUAUCAGGAUCGUGCAAAAUCAAAAUUUACCUCUAAUGCCCGCAUUAUUUAGCAAAACAUCGAUACGUCCAAAGGCCUCCCAAGCCUUCUGAACGGAGGCGCUGAUGGAGGAGCCACCGCUGGUGACGUCAAGUUCGACUACUACGGCUCGGACAGGCCUGUCAGCGUUUGGAGGAAGGUUCGAGUGGGUGAGGUUGUUGAUCUCGUCGCAGAGAGACUUGAGUCGGUCAACUCGGCGGGCGGCCGCCACUAUCUUGCAGCCGGCUUUGGCGAGGUUGAGGCAGAACUCGCUGCCGAGACCCGAGGAAGCGCCGGUGACCAAGACCACCUUGCCCUCCAGGUCUUGCCAUGGCUCGAGGUGGUCCGCGACUUGGCAUGCCAUCAAUGCGGUUCAGAAUCUCCAGAGAAAGUAGGCACCAGCUCUUAGAGGGAAAAAAGUAAAGCAAAGAAAAAUUGAUAAUCUGAUAAUAAAUAAGAAUGAAUUAAAAGGGGAAAUAAACUCCCUAUAUAUUCUAUUGCGACAUUGCGUGUACAAAUUCCAUUUGUUUAUGUAU